GGAGGAAAGCAGGGGAUCGCAAGACCUUGCGCUAGAGGAGCGGCCGAUGUCUGAUUAGUUAGUUGGUGGGGUAAAGGCCUACCAAGGCAACGAUCAGUAGCUGGUCUGAGAGGACGAUCAGCCACACUGGGACUGAGACACGGCCCAGACUCCUACGGGAGGCAGCAGUGGGGAAUUUUGGACAAUGGGCGAAAGCCUGAUCCAGCCAUGCCGCGUGAAUGAAGAAGGCCUUCGGGUUGUAAAGUUCUUUUAGUUGGAAAGAAAAAAUUAUGAUGAAUAAUCAUAAUUCAUGACGGUACCGACAGAAAAAGCACCGGCUAACUACGUGCCAGCAGCCGCGGUAAUACGUAGGGUGCAAGCGUUAAUCGGAAUUACUGGGCGUAAAGGGUGUGCAGGCGGCCUUGUAAGUCAGAUGUGAAAGCCCC
rnacentral:rRNA from 1 species